rnacentral:rRNA from 1 species
CCCUAUGGGGUGCAGCAGGCGGAAAACUAAGUCAGUGGUGAAAUCCUGCAGCUUAACUGUAGAAUUGCCGUUGAUACUGUUAUUCUUGAGUGUGGUCAAGGUAGGCGGAAUGUGUAAUGUAGCGGUGAAAUGCUUAGAUAUUACACAGAACACCGAUUGCGAAGGCAGCUUACUGGGCCAUUACUGACGCUCAUGCACGAAAGCGUGGGGAUCGAACA